ensembl:lncRNA
UGAAGUUUAUUUUCAAGGAACAGAACAACCUCAUUUUCAUUAACCAAGGACACAAUUCUGAGGUCCCCAAACUGGACACCUCCCUUUCCCUGGAAAUCCAUCUCAUGACAAACCAAUUGGUGACAAGGGACCACCACAGCGGAGACUCACACUUUGUCUUGGGAUACCAAGAUUUAUUAUAAUAUCACCUGCACAACAGUCCGAGCCAAGCAGUGCUUUCAUCAAAUAAAAGUUUCAGGUCAAAACCCUGAAACCUGUGAUCUCGAUAUUCAUUGUGUUUGGAUCAGAUAAACCAUCACUUGAUGUGGUACUUUUGUAAAAAGAGAUCUAUUGAAGAGAUUAUAGGAUACAGAGUUUAUUACAAUCUGACAAGUCAAUAAAACCUCUCAAUUGGAAGGAGUCUGUAGAACCUCCAGCGUUGCGAUGUCUGAAACACAAAUUAAAUGUCACGUCAAAAAGGCAAUCUAUUUGAAAUCACAAAGCAGAGUAAAGUCACAUACCUUUCCCAUUGCUGCUCUGGAAUUGAUUGAAGACCAUAUCAAUUCUCAAUGUUACUACCAUUUGUGGAGCUCCUUGGGGAAAAUUUGUAUAGUUCAUGUUUGUAGAAUGGCUGUGGAGGCACCUGCCAUAUCUGCAGCUACUGGGGCACAGCCGACAGGUAGGUGGCUUUUGGGGCCAUCAUCCAAACUUUACUUAUUUCAGCCACAAUAGUAACAACCGGUUGGUUGCACCUGUGGCUGCUACUGUUGGGUAGGUUAGCCAGCCUGCUAGGCUACCUGAGCCAGAAAGUAGCUAGCCUGCUGCUGCAGCGGCAGCAGCCACUGCAGGAGAGGAUAGCCAGGAGGCCGGGGCACCAGGGGCCAUUGCUGCUUCCGCCGUUGCAGGAGAGGAUAGCCAGGAGCCUUUGGCGCCUGGGGCCGCUGCAGGAGAGGAUAGCCAGGAGCCAUGGGCGCCUGGGGCCGCUGCUGCUGCUGCUGCUGCAGGAGAGGAUAGCCAGGAGCCAUGGGCGCCUGGGGCCGCUGCUGCUGCUGCUGCAGGAGAGGAUAGCCAGGAGCCAUGGGCGCCUGGGGCCGCUGCUGCUGCUGCUGCAGGAGAGGAUAGCCAGGAGCCAUGGGCGCCUGGGGCCGCUGCUGCUGCUGCUGCAGGAGAGGAUAGCCAGGAGCCAUGGGCGCCUGGGGCCGCUGCUGCUGCUGCAGGAGAGGAUAGCCAGGAGCCAUGGGCGCCUGGGGCCGCUGCUGCUGCUGCUGCUGCUGCUGCAGGGGAGGAUAGCCAGGAGCCAUGGGCGCCUGGGGCCGCUGCUGCUGCUGCAGGGGAGGAUAGCCAGGAGCCAUGGGCGCCUGGGGCCGCUGCUGCAGGGGAGGACACCAAGUGUGGCGGUGCGCCUGAGGAUGCUGCAGCUUUGGCAAAUAGGGACAGCCAGAAUGCCGGGGUUUCUUCUGCUGGAGCU